ensembl:lncRNA
CUAUUCUACAUUGUGGGAUAUUUUGUCCUACAGGAGCAUUUCUACUUUCCCCAUUGGUUACUGUAGCAUAGUGCCCAAUUUGUAGCAAAAUAAAAUAGGCAAAAGUAAAGUAUACAUAUACUGAAACAUUGUACUUUAUUUGGAAAUGAAAUUGGAAGUGAUACACAUUGUGUCCCCAAUGUAGCAGGAUGGUUGCUUAAAAGUUACUUUAAGGUUCCUGCCUUUAAAUUUAUGUCUUCCAACCCCUUGGGUGCAGCUAUGUCCACUUGAGAGCUGAACACCCCAUUAUUGGGUUCAGGUGGCUUCUGGCCUCUCCUGCUCUCCCAGUACAACCUCCUUACUGGGGACCAGAUCAUUUUCAGGGUCAGUUGCUGAGUACAAUGAGGAGGGAUCAUCUUGUGGAGCUGAAAUUAAAAAGUAACAAGUCACCUCCCAAAAUGUCUUGAACAAUGUAAGCUUAGCAGGGAUGCAAAAGGGUUCCAGGUCCUUCCACAGCACCUGUUUGUAAUUAAGCAUCCAUUUUCCUGACUGUUGGGAGGAAAGGCAGAAAGAGAGAAUCCAUAAGAGUCUCUUGCUUGGAGGGGUGCAGCAUUUCUGCAUCCUCUCAGUCCAGAGAAGUCAUACAACCUCCCUGCAUAAUCCACCGCCAGGACCACUCGGAGCCAGGUGAAGAAGAAAUCAAAGGUUUCCCCAUUACCUUUUCAAUCUUCUUACUCAGAAUAUACUUUUAAAGAAGAAAAGACAAUAUGGCUACAAAAUGCUUUUGAUUGGUGGCUCUUCAUCUGGAAUGAGUCAGAGCUCAAUAAAUACAAAGGAAGUGUUCCUUCUAAAUCAAUUGUGAGAAUGUACCCCUCUGCUGUUGCUGGUCAUCGACUGUAAUAAAUAAAUAUAUACAUGGUACCUCUCUGCAGAAAGUUUGUUAUUUAUUAUAUCUGGUGAAAUUGGCAUUUUCGAAUAUUGUUUAAAGGUGAGGAUUAUAAUAUUCAUUUUUAAAAUACCCCUUUAAAUAGAGACGAGGUGAGAGCACUAGGGCUUUGGAGCUUGGGAUCUUGUGACAGAUCUAAGCCAGCUUUAUGAACU